UCUCGCGCUGUCGCCGCUGCGGCUCGUUUUCUCUCUCGCAUAUGCAUGGAAGAGCGCGCGCCUCUCCACGUGUCCCUCGCAUGGAUGCGACCCGCCGGCUCUCUCGAACGUGAGAUGUAAACAUUCGACACUUGGAAUGUUUUUUGAAAUAGAUAUAGUUCUUUGUGAAGAUUUUUUAAGUGGGGUACAGCCUGUGGAGAGCAGGGCUGUCUCUGCAAUCAUAAAGUUUUGAACGGUCCUCAACGAAGUGUCGGGACAUUGCAACGAAAAUGUUUGCCCUCUGUAUUAUUUGUUGUUGUUGGGUGAUCAAGGACCUCGUUUAUGAUAUAUUAAGGGAUGCAGAAUGGGAAAAUUAUUCAGAUGACGACUUUGAAGAAUGGAUAGGGGAUGACGAAUGGGACGAUAUGUGUGAUUGGGAUUGGGAUCCAUAUAUAAGAGA